rnacentral:rRNA from 1 species
GUCGUCAGCUCGUGUCGUAGAUGUUGGGUUAAGUCCCGUAACGAGCCAACCCUUGUCCUUAGUUACCAGCACGUAAUGGUGGGCACUCUAAGGAGACUGCCGGUGACAAACCGGAGGAAGGUGGGGAUGACGUCAAGUCAUCAUGGCCCUUACGGCCUGGGCUACACACGUGCUACAAUGGUCGGUACAGAGGGUUCCAAGCCGCGAGGUGGAGCUAAUCCCAUAAAACCGAUCGUAGUCCGGAUCGCAGUCUGCAACUCGACUGCGUGAAGUCGGAAUCGCUAGUAAUCGCGAAUCAGAAUGUCGCGGUGAAUACGUUCCCGGGCCUUGUACACACCGCCCGUCACACCAUGGGAGUGGGUUGCACCAGAAGUAGCUAGUCUAAACUUCGGGAGGACGGUU